rnacentral:rRNA from 1 species
UACGGAGGGGGCUAGCGUUGUUCGGAAUUACUGGGCGUAAAGCGCACGUAGGCGGACUGUUAAGUCGGGGGUGAAAUCCUGGGGCUCAACCUCAGAAUUGCCUCCGAUACUGGCAGUCUCGAGUGCGGGAGAGGUGAGUGGAAUUCCCAGUGAUAGAGGUGAAAUUCGGUAAGAUAUUGGGAAGAACACCAGUGGGCGAAGGC